rnacentral:rRNA from 1 species
AUACGGAGGGUGCAAGCGUUGUUCGGAAUCACUGGGCGUAAAGGGCGCGCAGGCGGUUUGGUAAGUCAGAUGUGAAAGCCCACGGCUCAACCGUGGAAGUGCAUUUGAAACUGUCAGACUUGAGUACCAGAGGGGAAAGUGGAAUUCCCGGUGUAGAGGUGAAAUUCGUAGAUAUCGGGAGGAAUACCGGUGGCGAAGGCGACUUUCUGGCUGGAUACUGACGCUGAGGCGCGAAAGCGUGGGGAGCAAACAGGAUUAGAUACCCGAGUAGUCC